CCUACGGGUGGCAGCAGUGAGGAAUAUUGGUCAAUGGACGAGAGUCUGAACCAGCCAAGUAGCGUGAAGGAUGACUGCCCUAUGGGUUGUAAACUUCUUUUAUAUGGGAAUAAAAUGUUCCACGUGUGGGAUUUUGUAUGUACCAUAUGAAUAAGGAACGGCUAACUCCGUGCCAGCAGCCGCGGUAAUACGGAGGAUCCGAGCGUUAUCCGGAUUUAUUGGGUUUAAAGGGAGCGUAGGUGGAUUGUUAAGUCAGUUGUGAAAGUUUGCGGUUCAACCGUAAAAUUGCAGUUGAUACUGGCAGUCUUGAGUACAGUAGAGGUGGGUGGAAUUCGUGGUGUAGCGGUGAAAUGCGUAGAUAUCACGAAGAACUCCGAUUGCGAAGGCAGUUCACUGGACUGCAACUGACACUGAGGCUCGAAAGUGUGGGUAUCAAACAGGAUUAGAUACCCGAGUAGUC
rnacentral:rRNA from 1 species